AAACUCGAUCACCUUCCUCAAAUUCAAGAUCUCUCCUUCGGUUAUCGGCAUAACUCUUUUGCCGACACUGAGCUGUCUUGAGCCUUUCACGAAUUAAUGCUAUUUUAUCUGUGGUUAUCUGGACAAUUUCUGGCCCCAAAAGCUUUCUUUCACCAACCUCGUCCCAACAUAUGGAUGACUUGCAUUUCCUUCCAUACAGGGCUUCAUAUGGUGCCAUCUGAAUACUGGCUUGGAAGCUAUUAUUAUAAGCAAACUCAAUCAGGGGUAAAUGGUCAUCCU
rnacentral:lncRNA from 1 species